rnacentral:rRNA from 1 species
AGUGAACGCUGGCGGUAGGCCUAACACAUGCAAGUCGAACGGCAGCACAGGAGAGCUUGCUCUCUGGGUGGCGAGUGGCGGACGGGUGAGGAAUACAUCGGAAUCUACCUUUUCGUGGGGGAUAACGUAGGGAAACUUACGCUAAUACCGCAUACGACCUACGGGUGAAAGUGGGGGACCGCAAGGCCUCACGCGAUUAGAUGAGCCGAUGUCCGAUUAGCUAGUUGGCGGGGUAAUGGCCCACCAAGGCGACGAUCGGUAGCUGGUCUGAGAGGAUGAUCAGCCACACUGGAACUGAGACACGGUCCAGACUCCUACGGGAGGCAGCAGUGGGGAAUAUUGGACCAUGGGCGCAAGCCUGAUCCAGCCAUACCGCGUGGGUGAAGAAGGCCUUCGGGUUGUAAAGCCCUUUUGUGGGGAAAGAAAUCCUGUCGAUUAAUACUCGGUGGGGAUGACGGUACCCAAAGAAUAAGCACCGGCUAACUACGUGCCAGCCGCCGCCGUAACAC